ensembl:lncRNA
GAGUUACAGUGUCGACCUACAUGUCUCAUUAGGAAAGAAACCGACACGGCGCAAAGGUGCCCCCUCUGCAGUUUGAGGUUCUACUGAAAAAAAAAAGUGCACGUUGUGGAAUAAUCGCUCCUUGAAAUGGAGCAGGCAGGUUUGUCAGGUCGCAGCACGCGCGCAGGCUGGAAUGGAUAACGUAUGGAUCACUUUUAACCCCACCAUCAUCGAGACGCCUCGUUAGUUUUAAAAUACCCUGCUUGUUUCAUAUAAUUGAAAUGAACUCAGGGGAACGGAUGGCAGCCGUAAAGGGGAGUGGACGUUCGUCCCCGGGCUUCCUUUGCGUGAGAUCCGAAAUGCAAGACCGACGGCUGGAAGCAAUGCAACCCCCAUCUGUUCGGGGGUUAAUUGACUCUUAGAAUCCAUUUCCAGCACUCGUAUUUCUCUGUUGCCUGAGCCGUGUCAAUAUCGCUUCAUUAUUCCGGCAAACAACAGCCGCUCCAAACAUAACAAACCGCGUAGUCAUUUCUAAACGCUCGCUGCCGGUAAGAACUCUGUCUAGACCGCCGUGUGCACUGAGGUGCCGUCAGUUUCCAGGAGGGGUGUUCUCCAUCUGCUCCCCCCCAGGUAAAACAUUAAAUUGCAUUUUUUUUUCUUGUGUGAGAGCCGCACGCAGCAAAGUCGAGAGCCGGGUGUUGGAAACAAAAGCCCGAUGGGAGUUUUGCUGGUGUGCCUCGGCUAACCCACUCACCGUAUAAUUAACUACUCGAAUCAAACACACCAGAGAAGUACUGUGAAGUGUUCUGGAGACGGUGCGCUAAUCUUUUGGCAAACAAAAACCGUCAGAGGCCAAUCAAAAGGAGUCAUUCAGCCGUCUAAGCAGCGCUGCCUACAGGAACUCUUCUAGGCAACCCGGAAACUUCUUUUUUGGGGGGCGUAUGGGGGGAAAGAAGCCUGUCCUCUUAUGAAAAUGUGUGUCUUAGUUGGUGGGACGCCUGUGUGCUCAGGGGAAGUGAUCAAUGCUGCACAACAGCAUCGCUCUCUGACCUCUGGUCCUCUUUGGGCGUCUGUUAUCUCUCAGCUCCGCCCUCAUGUGCAUCCAUCCAUCUGUGUGUGUGUGUGUGUGUGUGUGUGUGUGUGUGUGUGUGUUUCCCUUUCUACGGCCCAUUGUCCUCCACCAGGCACAACGGGAUGUUAUCAGCUGCAGCCAGACUCAGCCACCUGCAAUGCUUCGUUAACUGUGUGUGUGUGUGUGUGUGUGUGUGUGUGUGUGUGUGUGUGUGUGUGUGUGUGUGUGUGUGUGUGUGUUUGCAUGCUCAUCCUGCAAACAAUGCUUCAUUACACGUCCCUCCCAGGGCUCCCUUAACAUUUCUUCCUGUCUGAUUAAAACAGUGAGUGUCCUGUUAUCUCUUCCAGUCAUUUCCCCCGGGCAGACCUUUUGGCUUGAAGGAAGGCGCACACACACACACACACACACACACACACACACAGGCACGCCUGCAAACAGAGUUUACGUGUUUGUUAGCAGUGUAAUCAUGAUAUAUAUCAGGAUUUGUAAUAAUCACUUAGUGUUUAAUCAGUGUGCAGCUCACAGAUACACAUACUAUGAUGGUAGUCAAAUUAAAUAUGCUCACAAUCUCUAAUCCUAUUUAUUUGCAUCUUGAGUAGCCUGAACACUGCAAAAGUUGUAUCUCGUUUCCCUUUUUCCCCCCGAGGCUUCGAGCCCGUCCUCUUUCUCGUGCCGACACAUCGGAGAAACACGACUCUCUUCAGGAAAUGAAGACUUUGGCAAUCAGCUGGCUCAGGCCUUACGCUGUCACGGUCUGCUUUGUUCACAUUCAGAUAUUCAAAGUCAGUGAGAGCGGGUGCAGAUGAAUGCGCCGGCAGGGCUGAAGGCUACGGAGCGUCACGUCUAAUAAGGAUCUGUCAGGUUUUCACACAAAGUCUAUUGAUCAUCCACGUCUGGCCCAGUUUCUCUCCUCGGCCCAGAUUAAAGAUUUCACCAAUGAAAAAGAAUCGCAAAAACACAGAGGGACACGGGGAAUGUAUAAUUAGAUGUAAUUAUUCAACGUUAUGCAAUGUUUUUUGAUAUUUCAUGGACCCGUCUGUCAUACUUGUGUAAACCUAAUGUUUGAAUGACAAAGUUACACCCUUCAUUUACAUAAUACUAGAUAUUUGAACUUUUCAGAUUUCUGCUCCACGGUCCUGGUUACUGGUGGAAGACGUCCGUAUUAAUGGUGGAAGACGUCCGUAUUAAUGGCGGAGGAUGUCGGUGUUACUGGUGGAAGAUGUCGGUGUUACUGGUGGAAGAUGUCGGUGUUACUGGUGAAAGAUGUCGGUGUUACUGGUGGAAGAUGUCCUGGUUACUGGUGGAAGAUGUCGGUGUUACUGGUGGAAGAUGUCCUGGUUACUUGUAGAAGAUGUCCUGGUUACUGGUGGAAGAUGUCCUGGUUACUGGUGGAAGAUGUCCUGGUUACUGGUGGAAGAUGUCCUGGUUACUGGUGGAAGAUGUCCUGGUUACUGGUGGAAGAUGUCCUGGUUACUGGUGGAAGAUGUCCUGGUUACUGGUAGAAGAUGUCCUGGUUACUGGUGGAAGACGUCCAUAUUAAUGGUGGAGGAUGUCCGUGUUACUGGUGGAAGACGUCGGUGUUACUGGUGGAAGACGUCCAUAUUAAUGGUGGAAGAUGUCGGUGUUACUGGUGGAAGAUGUCCUGGUUACUGGUGGAAGAUGUCCGUAUUAAUGGUGGAAGAUGUCCUGGUUACUGGUGGAAGAUGUCCUGGUUACUGGUGGAAGAUGUCCGUAUUAAUGGUGGAAGAUGUCCUGGUUACUGGUGGAAGAUGUCCGUAUUAAUGGUAGAAGAUGUCCUGGUUAAUGGUGGAAAAUGUCCUGGUUACUGGUGGAAGACGUCCAUAUUAAUGGUGGAAGAUGUCAGUGUUACUGGUAUAAGAUGUCCUGGUUAAUGGUGGAAAAUGUCCUGGUUACUGGUAGAAGAUGUCCGUAUUAAUGGAGGAGGAUGUCAGACGUGUUGUUUUCAAACGAACCUCCUCGGUCGGCGCGCAGUGGAGUGGGAAAUAAACACUGUUGCUGAGGGAUCUUUCUGUUUUCUCAUAAGCAGCCUCUGAGGGGAUUACAGAGCCUGGAGCUGUUAAACAGCUGAUUGUGAAUGCAUGUUUUUUUAAUAAAUGCCAUCUGCCUGCUCGACUGAUCAUCAGCAGUCUCCAUGCAGUGAUAAACAAGCACAUUAGAGACCAGCACAUCUGCUGACACCUCCCGAUACACAAGGUCUUUUCAAGAAUUCAUUUAUGUCUAGUAUUUCUUUUCUAAAUGCGCCUGCCACUUGUGUACGGUUCUGCCUCUGGGCUGUAUGCGCUCUCCAAUUUAAAUCGGUUUGCCUAAUUGAUAAAUGGUAUCGCUUAAUAGCUUGUGACAGACAAUUAAUAGCGGCGUCAGGGCGGGUAUGUGAAGGUCGUGGCGGAGGCUGGCGGUUGAUGGUUUAAUUGGUUUAUUCUGGGCUCUGAAGACACGGCACCCUGAAGCCACCCUGAUGGCUAAUUCGAGCUUACGGGCACUUUUAUAAGCACCGAAACACCCAAAAGACCGACCUGCUGCCCAUGUAUCUACUAUUUUGAAGAUAAAAUUAUUUGGUUUUUUUAUCUGGUUCUAAUGUUCAAAGAUUUGUCAAUUUUAUUAAUUUCCUGCCUGACCCAGAAUGGCUUCUGGCAAACCCAGGAAAGAGGCCUUGAACUAAUAUUUGGGUAAUUCAUUUUUCACAUUAAGAACUCCAUGUGAAGAGACUGAAAGCGAAACGAAAGCGGUGGCCACAAUGGAGGAUUUGGCACAGAUGUUGUCCGGGAUACAUUUCAGAGCUCAACUGGUGGUUCGGCUCUGAUCUGAUUUAAAACAUCUGACUGAGAACCGGCACAAAUAGAGGCCUUCAACCUUGCAUCUGCAAAAUCAGGCAAAAAAAAGGACUCUUAAAGAGUUUUAUCUCAUCCAAAACGGGUAAAAUCAUGUAAAACUAUGACAUCUUUAAUAUCUUGUUUUCUGUCUCAUACGUUCAACAUUUCAUUAAUUCACCACAUAGGUGGAUGGUACAGUGAUAAUUGCCACCAAGCAGGCGUUUUGUGGACAUGACGUGGCACAUUAAUGUGUUGUAUUUGUAUUUGUUGUAUUUAUUCAUGGCACUGAGGUCCAUAGCAAACAUGCUCAAACAGCCUCACCACGUUAAUGCAUGCACAGCGUUCCCGCGCUAUGUGUGUCUUUAUUAGAUCUCCCACAGCUCCACCUCAGCCUGCUUCACCUUAUUCCUCCUUCCAGGAGCUUUAUGAAAAAUUCAUACCCUGGGACGGUGUGAGUCCAGCCUUAUUUAAAAUAUCCCCACGCUGGAAGAGGCUUCUCCUGCUGAACACUCGACACCUUGCGGCUACGCUGGCUCCCCGACCGCCGCGAGCAGAGAGCAAUAUCCCCGUUUCUGGUUUCUCCAGCUGGUUCCUCGCUUCACAGUGGCUUGAACACGGAAUAACAGAACGGCACGAUUGUGAUUAUUGACUCAUUCACUCUGGGGUGGUUGUAACAUCCAAAAUAGUAUCUUCAUUGAACCGCAGCAAAAAACGGCGAGCAGGUCGCACACAUGUGUUAAAUACACACACACACACAGCAUGACAGUGGGUUAACAAAACACUUAGCCACACCAGCGGACCGCGGGUCGAUAGUGGCGGCGCCCCGUCACUGGCUCAGCACCACUCUUUAAUUAUACCGCCAUUGAUUGGCCCGGCUCCUGAAAAAAAUAUUU